GGCCUGAUGGUCUAGGAGUAUGAUUCGUUGUUAGGGCUCUCAAAGGGUGUUCGACGAGGUCCCGGGUUCAAUUCCCGGUCAGGCCC
rnacentral:tRNA from 1 species